rnacentral:tRNA from 1 species
GGAGGGGUGGCUCAGUGGUUAAGAGCACUGGCUGCUCUUCCAGAGGACCUGGGUUCGAUUCUCAGCACCCACA